UACGUAGGCAGCGAGCGUUGUUCGGAAUUACUGGGCGUAAAGAGUGUGUAGGCGGUGUUCCCAGUCUGUUGUGAAAUCUCCCGGCUUAACUGGGAGGGUGCAGCGGAAACUAGAAUGCUAGAGGGUGGGAGAGGUAAGCGGAAUUCCUGGUGUAGCGGUGAAAUGCGUAGAUAUCGGGAGGAACACCAAUGGCGAAGGCAGCUCGCUGGGACGGUACUGACGCUGAGGCGCGAAAGCGUGGGGAGCAAACAGG
rnacentral:rRNA from 1 species